AGUGUAGUAGGUAUGAUGUGAGAUAUCUAUAAG
rnacentral:guide_RNA from 1 species